rnacentral:rRNA from 1 species
UACGAAGGGGCUAGCGUUGCUCGGAAUCACUGGGCGUAAAGGGUGCGUAGGCGGGUCUUUAAGUCAGGGGUGAAAUCCUGGAGCUCAACUCCAGAACUGCCUUUGAUACUGGCGAUCUUGAGUCCGGGAGAGGUGAGUGGAACUGCGAGUGUAGAGGUGAAAUUCGUAGAUAUUCGCAAGAACACCAGUGGCGAAGGCGGCUCACUGGCCCGGUACUGACGCUGAGGUGCGAAAGCGUGGGGAGCAAACAGG